GUGCAGCAGUCGAGAAUUUUUCACAAUGGGGGAAACCCUGAUGGAGCGACGCCGCGUGGAGGAUGAAGGCGUUUUCGUCGUAAACUCCUGUCAUGCGAGAACAAGAAAGUGAUAGUAUCGCAAGAGGAAGAGGCGGCUAACUCUGUGCCAGCAGCCGCGGUAAUACAGAGGCCUCAAGCGUUGUUCGGAUUCAUUGGGCGUAAAGGGUGCGUAGGUGGCAUGGUAAGUUGAAGGUGAAAUCUCGGAGCUCAACUCCGAAACUGCCUUCAAUACUGCUGUGCUCGAGGACUGUAGAGGAGAAUGGAAUUCACGGUGUAGCAGUGAAAUGCGUAGAUAUCGUGAGGAAGACCAGUGGCGAAGGCGAUUCUCUGGGCAGUUCCUGACACUGAGGCACGAAGGCUAGGGGAGCAAACGGGAUUAGAUACCCCGGUAGU
rnacentral:rRNA from 1 species